CAGAUGUGGCUCUGACUCUGUCAAGUAAAUUCAUGGGUCUGUGAAUGUAAAUUUUUUUAUUUAUGGUCCUUAAAUUGCAAGACUGCAGCCAUACCUUGAGCAGCUAUUGUAGACUGUUAAAAUGAAGGAGAAAAUUCUGUGAUGGGAUAUACUGUACUUAGUAGUGAUCCUGUUUUUGCAGUAUGAUCCUAUGAAAGUUUGAGCAGACCAGACAGUGGAUAGAAAGGGCCUUGCCCUGUGUCUUGUAUCUUGUUUUCAUUC
rnacentral:lncRNA from 1 species